rnacentral:other from 1 species
AUAAUCCUGUAAUGUUCGUUAAUCUAUUGUUAUUAACCCACAGUAUGACUACGGGAGCUCGGGUUUGACCAUAGGAUGCCAUGUCCCUAGUGGGGAAGGCAGAAUUGGGCAAUAGGGCACCCACCUGCCGAGAGGCGGGUCUAAUAAUAGUAGAGAACGGCAUUAUGGGAGAAGC